UUGCUCGCUUCGGCAGCACAUAUACUAAAAUUGGAACGAUACAGAGAAGAGUAGCAUGGCCCCUGCGCAAGGAAAUUAAAUUUAGAGAAGCAGCGUGGCUUAGU